rnacentral:rRNA from 1 species
UACGGAGGGUGCGAGCGUUGUCCGGAAUCACUGGGCGUAAAGCGCACGUAGGCGGCUUUUUAAGUCAGAGGUGAAAUCCUGGAGCUCAACUCCAGAACUGCCUUUGAUACUGGAGAGCUUGAGUCCGGGAGAGGUGAGUGGAACUGCGAGUGUAGAGGUGAAAUUCGUAGAUAUUCGCAAGAACACCAGUGGCGAAGGCGGCUCACUGGCCCGGUACUGACGCUGAGGUGCGAAAGCGUGGGGAGCAAACAGG